rnacentral:rRNA from 1 species
UACGUAGGGAGCAAGCGUUGACCGGAUUUAUUGGGCGUAAAGAGCGUGUAGGCGGCCAGAUAAGUCCGCUGUGAAAACUCGAAGCUCAACUUCGAGAUGUCGGUGGAAACUAUCUGGCUAGAGUCCGGAAGAGGAGAGUGGAAUUCCUGGUGUAGCGGUGAAAUGCGCAGAUAUCAGGAAGAACACCCGUGGCGAAGGCGGCUCUCUGGUUCGGAACUGACGCUGAGACGCGAAAGCGUGGGGAGCGAACAGG